rnacentral:rRNA from 1 species
CCUACGGGAGGCAGCGGUGGGGAAUUUUGGACAAUGGGCGCAAGCCUGAUCCAGCAAUGCCGCGUGCAGGAUGAAGGCCUUCGGGUUGUAAACUGCUUUUGUACGGAACGAAAAAGUCUGCCCUAAUACGGUGGGCCCAUGACGGUACCGUAAGAAUAAGCACCGGCUAACUACGUGCCAGCAGCCGCGGUAAUACGUAGGGUGCGAGCGUUAAUCGGAAUUACUGGGCGUAAAGCGUGCGCAGGCGGUUAUAUAAGACAGAUGUGAAAUCCCCGGGCUCAACCCGGGACCUGCAUUUGUGACUGUAUAGCUAGAGUACGGUAGAGGGGGAUGGAAUUCCGCGUGUAGCAGUGAAAUGCGUAGAUAUGCGGAGGAACACCGAUGGCGAAGGCAAUCCCCUGGACCUGUACUGACGCUCAUGCACGAAAGCGUGGGGAGCAAACAGGAUUAGAUACCCUGGUAGUCCACGCCCUAAACGAUGUCAACUGGUUGUUGGGUCUUCACUGACUCAGUAACGAAGCUAACGCGUGAAGUUGACCGCCUGGGGAGUACGGCCGCAAGGUUGAAACUCAAAGGAUUGACGGCNGAGAGNGCGAGACGACGACGAGGGAGGAGG